CAGGGAUUGCCCUAGUAACGGCGAGUGAAGCGGCAAGAGCUCAAAUUUGAAAUCUGGCUCCUUUGGAGUCCGAGUUGUAAUUUGUAGAGGGUGCUUUGGUGUCGGCUAUGGCCUAAGUUCCUUGGAACAGGACGUCACAGAGGGUGAGAACCCCGUAUGUGGCUGCUAGCCUUCACCAUGUAAAGCCCCUUCGACGAGUCGAGUUGUUUGGGAAUGCAGCUCUAAAUGGGAGGUAAAUUUCUUCUAAAGCUAAAUAUUGGCCAGAGACCGAUAGCGCACAAGUAGAGUGAUCGAAAGAUGAAAAGCACUUUGGAAAGAGAGUCAAAAAGCACGUGAAAUUGUUGAAAGGGAAGCGCUUGCAGCCAGACUUGCUCGUAGUUGCUCAUCCGAGCUUUUGCUCGGUGCACUCUUCUGCGAGCAGGCCAGCAUCAGUCCGGGCGGUUGGAUAAAGGCUCUGGGAAUGUAGCUCUCUUCGGGGAGUGUUAUAGCCCAGGGUGUCAUGCAACCAGUCUGGACUGAGGUCCGCGCAUCUGCUAGGAUGCUGGCGUAAUGGCUGUAAGCGGCCCGUCUUGAAACACGGACCAAGGAGUCUAACAUCUAUGCGAGUGUUUGGGUGUCAAGCCCGGGCGCGUAAUGAAAGUGAACGGAGGUGGGAACCCUUCGGGGCGCACCAUCGACCGAUCCUGAUGUCUUCGGAUGGAUUUGAGUAAGAGCAUAGCUGUUGGGACCCGAAAGAUGGUGAACUAUGCCUGAAUAGGGUGAAGCCAGACGAAACUCUGGUGGAGGCUCGCAGCGGUUCUGACGUGCAAAUCGAUCG
rnacentral:rRNA from 1 species